CCGCGUCGACCGAUAUUGGAAGCUUGCUUCCGAUAGGCGUCGACCGGCGCACGGGUGAGUAACGCGUAUCCAACCUGCCCACCACUUGGGGAUAACCUUGCGAUAGUAAGACUAAUACCCAAUGAUAUCUCUAGAAGACAUCUGAAAGAGAUUAAAGAUUUAUCGGUGAUGGAUGGGGAUGCGUCUGAUUAGCUUGUUGGCGGGGUAACGGCCCACCAAGGCAACGAUCAGUAGGGGUUCUGAGAGGAAGGUCCCCCACAUUGGAACUGAGACACGGUCCAAACUCCUACGGGAGGCAGCAGUGAGGAAUAUUGGUCAAUGGACGAGAGUCUGAACCAGCCAAGUAGCGUGCAGGAAGACGGCCCUAUGGGUUGUAAACUGCUUUUAUAAGGGAAUAAAGUGAGUCUCGUGAGACUUUUUGCAUGUACCUUAUGAAUAAGGACCGGCUAAUUCCGUGCCAGCAGCCGCGGUAAUACGGAAGGUCCGGGCGUCGACGCGGCCG
rnacentral:rRNA from 1 species